rnacentral:rRNA from 1 species
CCUACGGGUGGCAGCAGUGGGGAAUAUUGGGCAAUGGGCGCAAGCCUGACCCAGCAACGCCGCGUGAGCGAUGAAGGUCUUCGGAUUGUAAAGCUCUGUCGCAGGGGACGAAAUAUGACGUUACCCUGUAAGAAAGCCCCGGCAAACUACUUGCCAGCAGCCGCGGUAAUACGUAGGGAGCUAGCGUUGUCCGGAAUUACGGGGCGUAAAGGGAGUGUAGACGGCUUGUCAGGUUAAGAUUGAAAGCCUGCGGCUUAACCGUAGAAUUGCACUUAAAACUGACUCGCUAGAGUGCAGGAGAGGUGAGUGGAAUUCCUAGUGUAGCGGUGGAAUGCGUAGAUAUUAGGAGGAACACCAGAGGCGAAGGCGGCUCACUGGACUGUAACUGACGUUGAGGCUCGAAAGCGUGGGGAGCAAACAGGAUUAGAUACCCCUGUAGUC